rnacentral:rRNA from 1 species
CAGCCGCCACGGUAAUACGAAGGGUGCAAGCGUUAAUCGGAAUUACUGGGCGUAAAGGGUGCGUAGGUGGUCGUUUAAGUCCGUUGUGAAAUCCCUGGGCUCAACCUGGGAAUGGCAGUGGAUACUGGACGGCUAGAAUGCGGUAGAGGGUAGUGGAAUUUCCGGUGUAGCAGUGAAAUGCGUAGAGAUCGGAAGGAACAUCUGUGGCGAAGGCGACUAUCUGGGCCAACACUGACACUGAGGCACGAAAGCGUGGGGAGCAAACAGGAUUAGAUACCCCUGUAGUCCCUGUCUCUUAUAC